rnacentral:rRNA from 1 species
AGAUUGAACGCUGGCGGCAUGCCUAACACAUGCAAGUCGAACGGGAGUAGCAAUACUCUAGUGGCGGACGGGUGAGGAAUACGUAGGAAUUUGCCCUUAAGUGGGGGAUAACCCGGGGAAACCCGGAUUAAUACCGCAUGACCUCGAAAGAGCAAAGUGGGGGAUCGCAAGACCUCACGCUUUUGGAGAAGCCUACGUCGGAUUAGCUAGUUGGUGAGGUAAUGGCUCACCAAGGCGACGAUCCGUAACUGGUCUGAGAGGAUGAUCAGUCACACCGGAACUGAGACACGGUCCGGACUCCGUACGGGAGGCAGCAGUGGGGAAUAGUUGGACAAGUGGGCGCAAGCCUGAUCCAGCAAUCGCCGCGUGUGUAGAAGAAGGCCGUUCGGUUAGUAAAGCGUACUUUAAGGUUAGGGAAAGAAAAACGUCGACUACUAACAC